rnacentral:rRNA from 1 species
AUUGAACGCUGGCGGCAGGCUUAACACAUGCAAGUCGAGCGAGAGGCGGACGGGUGAGUAAUGACUGGGAAACUGCGUGAUGGAGGGGGAUAACUAAUGGAAACGGAUGCUAAUACCGCAUACCAUCAGAUGUGCCCAGCUGGGAUUAGCUAGGAGGUGGGGGAAGGGCUCCCCUAGGCGACGAUCCCUAGCUGGUCUGAGAGGAUGAACAGCCACACUGUAACUGAGACACGGUCCAUACUCCUACGGGAGGCAGCAGUGGGGAAUAUUGCACAAUGGGCGCAAGCCUGAUGCAGCCAUGCCGCGUGUGUGAAGAAGGCCUUCGGAUUGUAAAGCACUUUCAGCGAGGAGGCGUUACUCGCAGAAGAAGCACCGGCUAACUCCGUGCCAGCAGCCGCGGUAAUUC